rnacentral:rRNA from 1 species
UACGGGGGGAGCAAGGCGUUGUUCGGAUUUACUGGGCGUAAAGGGCGCGUAGGCGGUCAGCACAAGUCAGUUGUGAAAUCUCCGGGCUUAACUCGGAAAGGUCAACUGAUACUGUGCGACUAGAGUGCGGAAGGGGCAACUGGAAUUCUCGGUGUAGCGGGUGAAAUGCGUAGAUAUCGAGAGGAACACCUGCGGCGAAGGCGGUUGCUGGCCGACACUGACGCUGAUGCGCGAAAGCCAGGGAGCGAAG